rnacentral:lncRNA from 1 species
AUGAAGACGAUGAUGAAGAAUUCUGCUUCUGCAGUGCUUUAUGUCUUCAAAAGCAGUUCCAGCGACCUAAUCUUAUUGCAUCUGCCCCCAUUAGGAUCAGAAAAGCAGCCUUUUGAUAGAAAGAAGACACACCACAGAGAUGCUGAAUGUGUGCUGACCCUCACGUGGGGACCAUUUUCCUGUGGAAGCAGCAAUAAUCAUAAUCAUAAUGCUUGCUUGAACUUGGCACUUCUCUUCAGUGUAGAGCCUGAAAUUACCCGCUGAUGCCUUUGGCGUGGCAGUGGGCUGCUUGAACAGAGGAGAGGCUGGGGACAGCAAAGUGUGUUAUUGUGGAGAAAUUCUCGAAGCUCUCAGGGUUGUGAAUGACUUUGGUGAAUAAGCCAACCUGGGGCAAUUCAAUAGGCAGGGUGUUAAGUAGGAAGCUGUGUCAUUGUUUCUAUAGAAGGGGUAGACUGGAGAUCUCUCAGGGGCUGUGUUGUGUUCAGGCCACUGGGCAGAAAGGCCCAUAGGAGGACCAUGCCAAAGCUUUAGACGUAAACAAACAAAACCCUACUUCUCAGGGACCCCAGGAAUGACAGAAACCUAGUUUCAUAGAGGAUUGGGAGCAUUGAUAAAAAUGAAUAACUCUUUGCCUUCUUUCCCCAUAAAUAAUGUCACACACAAACAUGAGGAUUCUCAGGUGUCGAUUUUCUUUGGUGUAAAUGUAACCCAUUUC